CCUGGCUUAGGAUGAACGCUGGCGGCGUGCCUAACACAUGCAAGUCGAACGGAGAUUAUAUAAUGCAGAGAUUUCGGUCAAAGCAAGUAUAAUCUUAGUGGCGGACGGGUGAGUAACGCGUGGGCAACCUGCCUCAUACUGGGGGAUAACAGUUGGAAACGACUGUUAAUACCGCAUAAGCGCAUAGUGUCGCAUGACACAGUGUGAAAAACUCCGGUGGUAUGAGAUGGGCCCGCGUCAGAUUAGCCAGUUGGCGGGUAACGGCCCACCAAAGCGACGAUCUGUAGCCGGCCUGAGAGGGCGGACGGCCACAUUGGGACUGAGACACGGCCCAAACUCCUACGGGAGGCAGCAGUGGGGGAUAUUGCACAAUGGAGGAAACUCUGAUGCAGCGACGCCCGCGUGAGUGAAGAAGUAUUUCGGUAUGUAAAGCUCUAUCAGCAGGGAAGAAAGGCCCGAAAGGGAGAUGACGGUACCUGACUAAGAAGCCCCGGCUAACUACGUGCCAGCCGCUGC
rnacentral:rRNA from 1 species